rnacentral:misc_RNA from 1 species
UUUUGGUGCUGAUCAAAGUUGGGGCCACAUUGAUGCCACAGUUCCAAACCAGCCACCAAGUCGCUACAAUGAACCAGAUAAUCGAGAUUGGCGCAAGCCUGCAGGUGGGGAGGAGAGGCCUCGGGAGACAGGCCGUGAAUCUAAUCAAUGGCAACAUGAGACUAAUCAAUCCUCAUCAAGGGCAUCAUCUCAAGUGGCAGUACUGACUCUUGCUAAGGCUGAAGUGCCAUGGUCUGCCCGAAGAGCCACCCUCUCCGAGAAAGAUCGAGUUUUGAAGACAGUGAAAGGUAUAUUAAACAAGUUGACACCAGAAAAAUUUGAUCUUCUAAAGGGUCAGUUACUGGAUGCUGGAAUAACGACACCUGAUAUUUUGAAGGAUAUCAUUAUGCUUAUAUUUGAUAAAGCAAUAUUGGAGCCUACCUUUUGUCCCAUGUAUGCUCAACUUUGCGCCGAUCUUGAUGAAAAGCUCCCUGCAUUUCCCUCUGAAGAACCGGGCGGGAAGGAAAUCACAUUCAAGCGUAUACUCUUGAAUAAUUGUCAAGAGGCCUUUGAAGGUGCUGACAGCUUAAGGGCUGAGAUUCGAAAGUUAUCUGCCCCCGAUCAAGAGUUGGAGCGUAGGGACAAAGAAAGAAUGUUGAAGCUCCGGACACUUGGCAACAUCCGCCUUAUUGGAGAGCUUCUGAAGCAGAAUAUGGUGCCAGAGAGAAUUGUUCAUCACAUUGUUCAGGAA